AUACGUAGGGGGCAAGCGUUAUCCGGAUUUACUGGGUGUAAAGGGUGCGUAGGUGGUUGCGCAAGUCAGAAGUGAAAACUAUGGGCUCAACCCAUAGACUGCUUUUGACACUGCGUAACUAGAGUGCAGGAGAGGAAAGUGGAAUUCCUAGUGUAGCGGUGAAAUGCGUAGAUAUUAGGAGGAACACCAGUGGCGAAGGCGGGUAACUGGACUGCAACUGACGCUGAGGCGCGAAAGUGUGGGGAGCAAACAGGAUUAGAUACCCUGGUAGUCCACACUGUAAACGAUGAAUGCUAGGUGUAGGAGGUAUCGACCCCUUCUGUGCCGCAGUAAACACAGUAAGCAUUCCGCCUGGGGAGUACGGUCGCAAGAUUAAAACUCAAAGGAAUUGACGGGG
rnacentral:rRNA from 1 species